UGACUCGGAGAAAGAGCGCCCAGCGCGGGAGCCCCCUUCCAGAGCCCGUCUGUAUCCGUCCUGCAGUCCUGAAAUGACUUGUCCAGGGGCAACAGCUUUUCCAGAAUCGGAUUCAUCUCUACAAUUUUCUGCUGCUGAAGAUUUUCCUCUUCAACCACUGGGUGUCAGGAUUAGCCCAAGAAGCGGAGGGUGCUGGGUGCCUGGUCCCCGCCCCCAGCCCAAGCUGCCUUUUCUGUCCCCUGGGCUCCCUGAUGAGGAGCCUGGCGAGCCUGGGCAGUGCCCUGCUGUUCCUGGCUCUGCGGGUGCCGGGCAUGGCCCUCUCGCGCCUGCUCAACUCCCCCCUCGCCAUUUGCCGCCUCUGCCAAGCCUCCCUGGGCCAGCUGGGCUUCUUCUGGAGCCUCUGGAAGAACCUGCUCCAUUACUGGUUUCAGAGCCUGCUGCUUGGGGUCCUCGUGGUCCUCUUGAUCACUUGGAGGCUGUGCCAGACAGCCCAUCGCUUCAGCAUCAAGCAGCUGAGGCGGCUGGUGAGUGGGCAGAGGGCUGGGCAGCAGCCGGGAGUGACCGUGAGGGGAGGAACCCGGGGUCAGCCACGGUGGACGUACGUGGCCGGCGGGCAUCAGUCAUGGGCUGGCCCAGGUGCGCCUUGAGGGAGGACGGGCGAACGCUGGCCCCACUCAUUUGGGGCAGUGUGUAGGGGCUCUAAGCCAGGCUGGUCAGUCCAGGAGACAAGGGGCAGGAGUGGGACCGGAAAGGGGAGUCGCGGUGGAUGUUGGGGGCCUGGCAAAGAGGAGAGGCCAGCCAUUGGUCAGUAAGAAUGGGGUACAUUUGGGGGGAUCCGCGGAGAAUGGUAAAGGCGGUAUGGAUGUUGUGGCCAGUGGGGCAAAGAGUCGGUCGGAGAGGUCAGGGCACAGCAAUAGGAGUAGUGUGGGGGGGAUGUUGGGAGGGAGCAAUGGCGGCCAUAGUAAAGGGAAAUGAUCAGGGCUGGGUACCAGGGAUGCACUGAUGGGGUGGCCACUGAUGGGCGAGCAACAGGAUUGGUGGGUAGAGCGGGGUGGUGUUGGAAUGGCCCAUGGAGGGUAAGUCAUGGCGGGAGGGGAGAGAGAGAGAGAGACAGAGAGAGAGAGAGAGAGACAGAGAGAGAGAGAGACAGAGAGAGAGAGAGAGAAAGAGGGAGAGAGGGAGGGAGAGAGAGACAGAGAGAGACAGAGAGAGAGAGAGAGAGAGAGAGACAGAGAGAGAGAGAGAGAGACAGAGAGAGAGAGAGAGAAAG
rnacentral:lncRNA from 1 species